rnacentral:lncRNA from 1 species
CACCCCAUAGCACCCUACGGCGCCACAUGUCACCCCAUAGCACCCCACGUCUCCCCACAGCGCCUCCUGUCACCCCAUAGCGCCCCAUAGCGCCUCGUGUUGCCCCACAUCUCCCCACAACAAUGAGCCAGUGCACCCCAUAUCGCCCCACAGCGCCCCAUAUCGCCCUAUACCGCCCUAUAUCGCCCCAUAGCACCCCAUAUCGCCCCAUAGCACCCCACAGCUGACAAAAACCCCACAGCAGCGGCGC